CCAAAACCAUUGACCCCAAUCCAAAAUAAAUCUGUUUCCCAGAAUGAACUCGAUGUGAUGACCUUUGACAUGAUGAUAAUUGGGCUUUACAUUCUAGCCCCCUCAUUUGCCUUUCUUCUCAUUUGCAUAUUUGCUGGAGUCAUCAUAUACAAGAAGUGUAACAGGUCUUCACCUGCUAAUCCACAAGAAUCACAGCUGGAACAAAGCGCUUUUCUGCAGCACUCAAAGCGCUUUACAUAUGAAAGGGGAUUCUCCUCAACCACCAACAUGCAGCAUCCACCUGGAUGAUGCGACGGCAGCCAUAUUGCGGCAGAACGCCCACCACACAACAGUUUAAUAGUGGAGAGGAUACAGAGUGAUAUGCUCAGGAUUAAUCUUAGUUCAUGUUAAUUUAAACAUUUAGUAAUACAAAUUUAAAAUGUAAUACAUUUUAAUGAAGGCAUUUUAAUUGCUGUAUGAUGACUUUUAAAAUCAAUUAUGAAAAUGUAAGUAUAAAAAUAUAAUCAGAUUAUAGUGUGCUAAUGACUGAACAUGUCUUAUGUGAGAGAGCGAGACAGCAUCACUUCGGCUCUGGUUAGCUAUGUUUAAACAGUAUGUGUGAAUUAUAGCUAAGUUAGUAUAUGAAAACAUGCCAGCAUGUAUAUUAGCAACCUUAUUAGACUCUAAAAAAUGUUGGGUUGUGUUAAACCAAUACCGGAUUGUUUCAACCCAACUGCUGGGUUAAAUAUAACUCAUGGUUAGGUAACAACAACCAAGCAUUGGGUAACUUAUCAGUUUGUUCUGUCCCAACACUGACUUGAAAAUAACAAGUGUAAAAGAAUCAAGCUAAUGGAUAAAGUAAAUAUACAUAAGACUGUUUAUAAAAACAAUAUUACACUUCACCUACUGUAUGUGUUAAUCUGUUCACAGGUCAAAUGAUGCGGUUGCGGCAGACAAGACUAUCUCUAAAGCCUGUAUACCAUCACCAAAGAGUCAGAGAAAAUCCUGCACUAUUAAGGAUUAUGAAGAGAUUUAUACCAACAUGGAAGAUCCCAACAUUUAUGGAAACGUCUAAUGAAAAUGCUCUACAUCACCUCCAAAAUGUGCUUAAUACAGUGUUUAAAACAGAAAAAUACAAAAGUCAAACAUAUAUUUUAGAAAAUAUAUAAAAAACACAACUUUGUCAUGG